rnacentral:rRNA from 1 species
CACGGGUGCGUAACGCGUAUGCACCUACCUUUAACAGGGGGAUAACACUGAGAAAUUGGUACUAAUACCCCAUAAUAAGGCAUCUUGAAAAUUCCGAUGGUUAGAGAUGGGCAUGCGUUGUAUUAGCUAGUUGGUGGGGUAACGGCUCACCAAGGCGACGAUACAUAGGGGGACUGAGAGGUUAACCCCCACACUGGUACUGAGACACGGACCAGACUCCUACGGGAGGCAGCAGUGAGGAAUAUUGGUCAAUGGACGCAAGUCUGAACCAGCCAUGCCGCGUGCAGGAUGACGGCUUAUGAGUUGUAAACUGCUUUUGUACGAGGGUAACGCAGAUACGUGUAUCUGUCUGAAAGUAUCGUACGAAUAAGGAUCGGCUAACUCCGUGCCAGCAGCCGCGGUAAUACGGAGGAUUCAAGCGUUAUCCGGAUUUAUUGGGUUUAAAGGGUGCGUAGGCGGUUUGAUAAGUUAGAGGUGAAAUUUCGGGGCUCAACCCUGAACGUGCCUCUAAUACUGUUGAGCUAGAGAGUAGUUGCGGUAGGCGGAAUGUAUGGUGUAGC